GGGAUCUAUGGGGUCUCAAUGGGUCCCUGUGGGUCUCUAUGGGGUCUGUGGUGUCUGUAUGGGUUCCAAUGGGUCCCAAUAGGUUCUAUGGGGUCCCAAUGGGUCCCUAUGGGUUCUAUGGGGUCUCAAUGGGUUCCAAUGGGUCCCCAUAGGUUCUAUGGGGCCUCAAUGGGUCUCAAUGGGUUCUAUGGGGUCCCAAUGGGUCCCUAUGGGUUCUAUGGGGUCUCAAUGGGUUCCAAUGGGUCCCCAUAGGUUCUAUGGGGUCUCAAUGGGUCUCAAUGGGUUCCUAUGGGGCCCAAUAGGUUCUAUGGGGUCUCAAUGGGUCUCAAUGGGUUCCAAUGGGUCCCAAUGGGUUCUAUGGGUCUCAAUGGGUCUCAAUGGGUUCCAAUGGGUCCCAAUGGGUUCUAUGGGGUCCCAAUGGGUCC